AUGUAACCACGUACAUUCCGGUUCCUCCGCGCCGUCCGCAUCCACCUGACGACUACUCGCUACGUUUUUGUUAGCC
rnacentral:sRNA from 1 species